rnacentral:rRNA from 1 species
GACGAACGCUGGCGGCGUGCCUAACACAUGCAAGUCGAGCGGAGUUAGUAGCAAUACUAAUUUAGCGGCGGACGGGUGAGUAACGCGUGAGUAACCUGCCUCAUACUGGGGGAUAACAUUGGGAAACUAGUGCUAAUACCGCAUAAUGUAUAGUCAAGGCAUCUUGAUUAUACCAAAGGAGCAAUCCGGUAAGAGAUGGACUCGCGUCCGAUUAGCUAGUUGGCGGAGUAAAAGCCCACCAAGGCGACGAUCGGUAGCCGAGCUGAGAGGUUGAUCGGCCACAUUGGGACUGAGACACGGCCCAGACUCCUACGGGAGGCAGCAGUGGGGAAUAUUGCGCAAUGGGGGAAACCCUGACGCAGCAACGCCGCGUGAAGGAUGAAGGUUUUCGGAUUGUAAACUUCUUUGAUUGGGGACGAAACUAUGACGGUACCCAAAAAACAAGCCACGGCUAACUACGUGCCAGCCGCCGCCGUAA